rnacentral:rRNA from 1 species
UAGGGAAUAUUGCACAAUGGGCGAAAGCCUGAUGCAGCAACGCCGCGUGCACGAUGAAGGUCUUCGGAUCGUAAAGUGCUUUUCUGGGAGAUGAGAAAGGACAGUAUCCCAGGAAUAAGUCUCGGCUAACUACGUGCCAGCAGCCGCGGUAAAACGUAGGAGGCAAGCGUUAUCCGGAUUCACUGGGCGUAAAGCGCGUGCAGGCGGUUUGGUAAGUUGGGCGUGAAAUCUCCUGGCUUAACUGGGAGAGGCCGUCCAAUACUACCGGACUAGAGAGCAGUAGAGGAAGAUGGAAUUCCCGGUGUAGUGGUGAAAUGCGUAGAUAUCGGGAGGAACACCAGUGGCGAAGGCGAUCUUCUGGACUGUUUCUGACGCUCAGACGCGAAAGCUAGGGUAGUAAACGGGAUUAGAGACCCCGGUAAUCCUAGCCGUAAACGAUGUGAACUUGGCGUCGGUAGCUUAAACACUAUCGGUGCCGCAGCAAACGCGAUAAGUUC